AGAGUUUGAUCAUGGCUCAGAACGAACGCUGGCGGCGUGGAUAAGACAUGCAAGUCGAGCGAGAUUUUUUCCUGUAGCAAUACAGGGAAACGUCUAGCGGCGAACGGGUGCUUAACACGUGGGCAAUCUGCCGAGAAGUGGGGGAUAGCUCGCCGAAAGGCGAAUUAAUACCGCAUGUGAUUAGAGUGGACAUCCAUUCAAAAUCAAAGUCGGGGCAACCUGACGCUUUUUGAGGAGCCCGCGGCCUAUCAGCUAGUUGGUGAGGUAACGGCCCACCAAGGCUUUGACGGGUAGCUGGUCUGAGAGGACGACCAGCCACACUGGGACUGAGACACGGCCCAGACACCUACGGGUGGCAGCAGUCGAGAAUUUUUCUCAAUGGGGGAAACCCUGAAGGAGCGACGCCGCGUGGAGGAUGAAGGCCUUCGGGUUGUAAACUCCUGUCAUUUGGGAACAAGGCGUAAAUAUUAACUGUAUUUGCGUUGAUAGUACCAGAAGAGGAAGAGACGGCUAACUCUGUGCCAGCAGCCGCGGUA
rnacentral:rRNA from 1 species